rnacentral:rRNA from 1 species
AUACGGAGGGUGCAAGCGUUAUUCGGAAUCACUGGGCGUAAAGGACGCGUAGGCGGGUUGGCAAGUCAGAUGUGAAAUCCUACAGCUUAACUGUAGAACUGCAUUUGAAACUGCUAACCUAGAGUAUGGGAGGGGGAGAUGGAAUUAGUGGUGUAGGGGUAAAAUCCGUAGAUAUCACUAGGAAUACCGAAAGCGAAGGCGAUCUCCAGGAACAUAACUGACGCUAAGGCGUGAAAGCGUGGGGAGCGAACAGGAUUAGAAACCCUAGUAGUCC